GACGAACGCUGGCGGCGUGCUUAACACAUGCAAGUCGAACGGAAAGGCCCUGCUUUUGUGGGGUGCUCGAGUGGCGAACGGGUGAGUAACACGUGAGUAACCUGCCCUUGACUUUGGGAUAACUUCAGGAAACUGGGGCUAAUACCGGAUAGGAGCUCCUGCUGCAUGGUGGGGGUUGGAAAGUUUCGGCGGUUGGGGAUGGACUCGCGGCUUAUCAGCUUGUUGGUGGGGUAGUGGCUUACCAAGGCUUUGACGGGUAGCCGGCCUGAGAGGGUGACCGGCCACAUUGGGACUGAGAUACGGCCCAGACUCCUACGGGAGGCAGCAGUGGGGAAUAUUGCACAAUGGGCGGAAGCCUGAUGCAGCAACGCCGCGUGCGGGAUGACGGCCUUCGGGUUGUAAACCGCUUUCGCCUGUGACGAAGCGUGAGUGACGGUAAUGGGUAAAGAAGCACCGGCUAACUACGUGCCAGCAGCCGCGGUGAUACGUAGGGUGCGAGCGUUGUCCGGAUUUAUUGGGCGUAAAGGGCUCGUAGGUGGUUGAUCGCGUCGGAAGUGUAAUCUUGGGGCUUAACCCUGAGCGUGCUUUCGAUACGGGUUGACUUGAGGAAGGUAGGGGAGAAUGGAAUUCCUGGUGGAGCGGGGGAAUGCGCAGAUAUCAGGAGGAACACCAGUGGCGAAGGCGGUUCUCUGGGCCUUUCCUGACGCUGAGGAGCGAAAGCGUGGGGAGCGAACAGGCUUAGAUAUCCUGGUAGUCCACGCUGUAAACGGUGGGUACUAGGUGUGGGGUCCAUUCCACGGGUUCCGUGCCGUAGCUAACGCUUUAAGUACCCCGCCUGGGGAGUACGGCCGCAAGGCUAAAACUCAAAGGAAUUGACGGGGCCCCGCACAAGCGGCGGAGCAUGCGGAUUAAUUCGAUGCAACGCGUAGAACCUUACCUGGGUUUGACAUGGAUCGGGAGUGCUCAGAGAUGGGUGUGCCUCUUUUGGGGUCGGUUCACAGGUGGUGCAUGCCUGUCGUCAGCUCGUGUCGUGAGAUGUUGGGUUAAGUCCCGCAACGAGCGCAACCCUUGUUCACUGUUGCCAGCACGUUAUGGUGGGGACUCAGUGGAGACCGCCGGGGUCAACUCGGAGGAAGGUGGGGAUGACGUCAAGUCCUCAUGCCCCUUAUGUCCAGGGCUUCACGCAUGCUACAAUGGCUGGUACAGAGAGUGGCGAGCCUGUGAGGGUGAGCGAAUCUCGGAAAGCCGGUCUCAGUUCGGAUUGGGGUCUGCAACUCGACCUCAUGAAGUCGGAGUCGCUAGUAAUCGCAGAUCAGCAACGCUGCGGUGAAUACGUUCCCGGG
rnacentral:rRNA from 1 species